rnacentral:rRNA from 1 species
GCGAGCUGCGGGCCAGGUGCGGCGGUAAGUCGUAGGGUGCGAGCUUUGGUCGGAAUUAGUGGGCGUAAAGGGGUCGUAGGCGGUUUGUCGCGUCGGGAGUGAAAUCCACUGGCUUAACUGGUGGCUUGCUUUCGAUACGGGCAGACUGGAGGUAUGCAGGGGAGAACGGAAUUCCUGGUGUAGCGGUGAAAUGCGCAGAUAUCAGGAGGAACACCGGUGACGAAGGCGGUUCUCUGGGCAUGUCCUGACGCUGAGGAGCGAAAGUGUGGGGAGCGAACAGGAUUAGAUACCCUGGUAGUC